rnacentral:rRNA from 1 species
ACGGCAGCAUGACCUAGCUUGCUAGGUUGAUGGCGAGUGGCGAACGGGUGAGUAAUGCAUCGGAACGUGCCUUUUAGUGGGGGAUAACGUAGCGAAAGUUACGCUAAUACCGCAUAUUCUCUGAGGAGGAAAGCAGGGGGCCUUCGGGCCUUGCGCUAGAAGAGCGGCCGAUGUCGGAUUAGCUAGUUGGUGAGGUAAAGGCUCACCAAGGCAACGAUCCGUAGCGGGUCUGAGAGGAUGAUCCGCCACACUGGGACUGAGACACGGCCCAGACUCCUACGGGAGGCAGCAGUGGGGAAUUUUGGACAAUGGGCGCAAGCCUGAUCCAGCCAUGCCGCGUGAGUGAAGAAGGCCUUCGGGUUGUAAAGCUCUUUCGGCUGGGAAGAAAUCGCACUCUCUAAUACAGGGUGUGGAUGACGGUACCAGCAUAAGAAGCACCGGCUAACUACGUGCCAGCAGCCGCGGUAAUACGUAGGGUGCGAGCGUUAUUCGGAAUUACUGGGCGUAAAGCGUGCGCAGGCGGUUGUGUAAGACAGACGUGAAAUCCCCGGGCUCAACCUGGGAACUGCGUUUGUGACUGCACGGCUAGAGUACGGCAGAGGGGGGUGGAAUUCCACGUGUAGCAGUGAAAUGCGUAGAGAUGUGGAGGAACACCGAUGGCGAAGGCAGC